AAAACUUUCGACAACGGAUCUCUUGGUUCUCGCAUCGAUGAAGAACGCAGCG
rnacentral:rRNA from 1 species